AAUGAACGUUGGCGGCGUGGAUUAGGCAUGCAAGUCGAGCGAGAACCCGCAAGGGGGACAGCGGCAAACGGGGUAGUAAUGUGUCGGAACGUGCCCUCUGGACGGGGAUAGCGGCGGGAAACUGCCGGUAAUACCCGAUGAUCUCGAGAGAGCAAAGGUGUGAUUCCGCCGGAGGAGCGGCUGACAUGGUAUUAGCUAGUUGGCGGGGUAACGGCCCACCAAGGCUGUGAUGCCUAGGGGAUGUGAGAGCAUGAUCCCCACCAUUGGGACUGAGACACUGCCCAGACACCUACGGGUGGCUGCAGUCGAGAAUCUUCGUCAAUGGGCGAAAGCCUGAACGAGCGACGCCGCGUGCGGGAUGAAGGCCCUUGGGUUGUAAACCGCUGUCGAGGGGGAUGAAGGCCUUCCGGUACUCCGGAAGGUUUGACAGAGCCCUGGAGGAAGCACGGGCUAAGUUCGUGCCAGCAGCCGCGGUAAGAC
rnacentral:rRNA from 1 species